GACAAAAAGGGGCAAGGACCGAACAAGUCAACCAGCCAACCGAAGGCAAGCUAGCAAAAAUCUCACCACUUCCCUUCGAACAGGCAGGAUGGCUAGACACGGCCCAAGGCUCUCCCCUCACGCGUGGCAGAUUACGGCAGUCACUGUAGGCCUCGGCUCCAGAUAAGCCAGACUGAAACAGGGACCCGCCGUUCUCGAACCUCGCCGGAAAGGAAGAGAGCGAACUAUCUUAUCAAUGCCUUAUUUAUACCCUAGGUUACGUAAUGGAAUAGCAUGGAAUACUUCCUUGGUCACCUUCCUAGUUCCUUCCUGGUUACAAGCUGGUUUCCAGGAAGGCCUAGACUGAAACCAUCACACACCUGGUCUGUCUGAAGAGCCUAGCCUUUUGACUGUUUUGCUCUGGGCAAAAGUGAAAUGUUGCAUUCUUCAAAUCCACUUGCUAUGACUUGAACAGUGGAUCACUCUUCAAGCAGAAGAAAUUUUUUGAGAUUAUCUUCAUUUCAGUAGUCCCUUUACACAGAUGGAUACCUGUGUUAAUGGUGAUAUUAAUUUUUCGAUCUCAAGAGAAGACUAUCCUUAUUUUCUCAAUGUCUUUCUUACACCAGAACAUCUAUGACACCCAUGUGCACGCUUUAAUCACAAGUUAAGAGCAUAAGUAAGAGUGUUCUUUUCUCAGGGAUUGGAUCUAAGCUCUGAAGAAGCAUGACUCUUUUGAAGACCUAAAUAGAAUUUGACAUCUAACCUGAGUUCUGUAAAAACCUACCUGACAAACUGCAGUUAAUACCCCACACGAGCAACUGGAUAAACCAGAACAGGCUUACUAAAUUAAAAAAAAUAUUAAAAAAAUUAGAAAGAUUAAAAAUAUGCAAGAUGUCAAAAUUUUAUUUUCAGAGGCAAACAUUUUUUACUAAAAAUCGAUGAGUUCUGGAAACAUAGAUGAAACAAGUUUUUGGUUAGGUUAAGCACUUUAAGGCAAUAUAGAUAGGACUGUGAAUCAUUUACAUAGUGCAAAUAUUUUUUUCAGGCUAAUCCCAGGUUUUUAUUUUUUCUUUAAGAACUGAUUAGUUAUUCCACUGAAUUAUGCCAAAGUUCUUCUUAAUCCAGCAUUUCCUUAACUUUUCCUCAUAUUACACCCACCUUGUCCCAUUCAGAUCAGUGGUGUUGCCUAAAGAGAGACUGCAGAGAAAAAGAGGCCAAGAUAAGAUAAAGAGAGUAGGUCCUUUAAUCAGCCUACAGGCCCAGGGAAUACACAUAAUGCAUACGUGUCCAUACAGUGGUUGUAUGAUUUUAUAAUAAGGUCC